GACAGAGGUGCCGAGCGUUAGGCGGAAUCACUGGGCUUAAAGCGUGUGUAGGCGGGCCGUUAAGUGCCUUGUGAAAUCCCCCGGCUCAACCGGGGAACUGCUGGGCAUACUGGCGGGCUUGAGUCACUCAGGGGUCAGCGGAACAAACGGUGGAGCGGUGAAAUGCGUAGAUAUCGUUUGGAACGCCGACGGCGAAAGCAGCUGACUGGGAGUGAUCUGACGCUGAGACACGAAAGCCAGGGGAGCGAACGGG
rnacentral:rRNA from 1 species